CUACGGGUGGCUGCAGUGGGGAAUAUUGGACAAUGGGCGAAAGCCUGAUUCAGCCAUGCCGCGUGUGUGAAGAAGGCCUUCGGGUUGUAAAGCACUUUCAGUGGGGAAGAAAGCCUUGGGGCUAAUACCCUCGAGGAAGGACAUCACCCACAGAAGAAGCACCGGCUAACUCCGUGCCAGCAGCCGCGGUAAUACGGAGGGUGCGAGCGUUAAUCGGAAUUACUGGGCGUAAAGCGCGCGUAGGCGGUCUGAUAAGCCGGUUGUGAAAGCCCCGGGCUCAACCUGGGAACGGCAUCCGGAACUGUCAGGCUAGAGUGCAGGAGAGGAAGGUAGAAUUCCCGGUGUAGCGGUGAAAUGCGUAGAGAUCGGGAGGAAUACCAGUGGCGAAGGCGGCCUUCUGGACUGACACUGACGCUGAGGUGCGAAAGCGUGGGUAGCAAACAGGAUUAGAUACCCGAGUAGUC
rnacentral:rRNA from 1 species